AGAGGUAGACGCAGAGAACUGAAACAUCUUAGUACCUGCAGGAAGAGAAAGAAAAUUCGAUUCCCUGAGUAGCGGCGAGCGAAACGGGAAGAGCCCAAACCAACAAGCUUGCUUGUUGGGGUUGUAGGACUCCGAUAUGGUAGUCUGUUAGUAUAGUUGAAGGAUUUGGAAAAUUCCGCUAAAGAGGGUGAAAGCCCCGUAGACGAAAUGCUGACAACACCUAGGAGGAUCCUGAGUACGGCGGAACACGAGAAAUUCCGUCGGAAUCCGCGGGGACCAUCCCGCAAGGCUAAAUACUCCCUAGUGACCGAUAGUGAACCAGUACCGUGAGGGAAAGGUGAAAAGCACCCCGGAAGGGGAGUGAAAUAGAUCCUGAAACCGUGUGCCUACAACAAGUCAAAGCUCGUUAAUGAGUGAUGGCGUGCCUUUUGUAGAAUGAACCGGCGAGUUACGAUUGCAUGCGAGGUUAAGUCGAAGAGACGGAGCCGUAGCGAAAGCGAGUCUGAAUAGGGCGAAUGAGUAUGUAGUCGUAGACCCGAAACCAUGUGAUCUACCCAUGUCCAGGUUGAAGGUGCGGUAAAACGCACUGGAGGACCGAACCCACGUACGUUGAAAAGUGCGGGGAUGAGGUGUGGGUAGCGGAGAAAUUCCAAACGAACUUGGAGAUAGCUGGUUCUCUCCGAAAUAGCUUUAGGGCUAGCCUCGGAAUUGAGAAUGAUGGAGGUAGAGCACUGUUUGGACUAGGGGCCCAUCUCGGGUUACCGAAUUCAGAUAAACUCCGAAUGCCAUUCAUUUAUAUCCGGGAGUCAGACUGCGAGUGAUAAGAUCCGUAGUCGAAAGGGAAACAGCCCAGACCACCAGCUAAGGUCCCAAAAUAUAUGUUAAGUGGAAAAGGAUGUGGGGUUGCACAGACAACUAGGAUGUUGGCUUAGAAGCAGCCACCAUUUAAAGAGUGCGUAAUAGCUCACUAGUCGAGUGACCCUGCGCCGAAAAUGUACCGGGGCUAAACAUAUUACCGAAGCUGUGGACUACACCAUUAGGUGUAGUGGUAGGAGAGCGUUCUAAGGGCGUUGAAGGUCGAUCGUGAGGACGGCUGGAGCGCUUAGAAGUGAGAAUGCCGGUAUGAGUAGCGAAAGACAGGUGAGAAUCCUGUCCACCGUAUGACUAAGGUUUCCUGGGGAAGGCUCGUCCGCCCAGGGUUAGUCGGGACCUAAGCCGAGGCCGAUAGGCGUAGGCGAUGGACAACAGGUUGAUAUUCCUGUACCAGUUGUUUUUGUUUGAGCAAUGGAGGGACGCAGUAGGCUAAGGAAUGCAUGCGAUUGGAAGUGCAUGUCCAAGCAAUGAGUCUUGAG
rnacentral:rRNA from 1 species